ACCCUUGUGGAGAAGGACGCCGAAGGUGGGGCUGAUGACUGGGGUGAAGUCGUAACAAGGUAGCCGUACCGGAAGGUGCGGCUGGAUCACCUCCUAACAGGGAGACAACAAAUAGAUUAGAAAGAAUAAAGCAUCUCAUGGAUGCAUAAUUCUGUUUUUGAUUUUUUAGCUUAAAAACUAAAUGAUCAAUUUUCAGAAUUCAUGUUUAAUUCUUGAGUAAUAGCCGAGCACAAUUGAUUUUGUGAUUGUAUUUAAGGUCAAGCUACAAAGGGCUCAUGGCGGAUACCUUGGC
rnacentral:misc_RNA from 1 species